GAGUAUUCCUCCAACGGUUACAUUUCCCAUCUCUCGCUCCUUGGUCUUCUGCUCCAUUUCCGAUCCAAAACCUUCUCAAUCAAUAUCUCACCCUCUCUCUCUCCUCCUCUUCUCUCUUUCUCUCUCUAGCUUUCGCAACCAUGAAGCACUUCAUGUAGCCAAGAAACGCGAUCUUGAGGGAGACGAAGAUGGAGUCUCCGACGUCGCCGAACCCUAGCGUAGCCAAGCCCUGGCCGUCGCGGAAGCAGAGGGGCUCCAAGGAGAACGCUCCGCCGUCGGAUUUGAACUCUUUGCGUCCGAUUUCCAUAGCCUCUACCUCUCUCUUUCUUUGCACUCCACAACGGUUUCUUGGGUGCGAUUUCCAUGCUUAGCCCUAGAGAGAGAAAUAUGCUAAAAGUGGCAAAGAGCAAAAGCAAGCGCCAAAUCCACGCAAGAAAGCACGCACCAGCUAGCUUCAACUUUACCUAUUUGGUCAACAUAUUAACUACUGCAUAAUGUUUUGUCACCGCAAUUAAACUUGUGCAAGCAAGAUUUGGUUCUGUAAGCUUCAACUUUUUAGAUUUGGAUUAGCUACUACAAAACAUUUUGCCAUCAAAGAUAAACUUGGGCAAGGAGAUUUUCAUUCUGUCUAUGAGGUAAUAACUCUGUUCUUUUUGUUUGUUUGUUUGGUUUUUGUUCCUUUUUUUGAAAAACAAAAUAGCUGAGGCACUGGAGAUCUUGUUUUUCUGCUUUAAGAGAGGCGCCCUGGCAUGGAUUCCUAAAGGCUAAGAGCCCAGUCUCUUAUUCACUUGCCUAGCUGCCUUUUCUAUUCCGAAAGGCUAAAAGACAACUGAAGACUACAAUAAAACUCCAUUGAAGUUUUUCUAUCUAUUUUUUAAACUAACUACUUUUUCUCUUUUUUUUUUUCUCGAUUUUUUUCCUUGUGUUUAUCAUGAUGAGCAGAGGAAAAGGGAUGAUGUAGUCUUAAUUUUCUUAUGCAUUCUUAGAAGUAUUGUCGCAUGGGAUUGAUAUUUAGUCUUAAUCACAUUAUCCAUACAAGUUA